GCGAAAAAUAAAUAUGUUUGCAUAACGUAAACAUGAUCUUUUGACUGUUUUUAAAUUUUUAUUCCUGCACAAAUUUCGGUUACCGAUAAUUAUUCCGGUACCGACACUUUAAAGAAGAUGAAAUUUUCAAAAGUGAGAAAAUACAAAGCGAAUGAUGUCCAACAAGGCUUCUCUGCCAGUCGUAUUACCAAGGAAAUAAGUAAAAUCUACAACAUUAAGCUCAACAAAACCCUUCGGAAACAAGUCGAAUUAGCCCUUUGCCGCGGCGUCAAUUAUGGAAUAUUAACGAAAAUUAAAAAUAAAUAUAGAAUUGCUUUGCCAUAAGUGAUCAUUGGUUCUUUAAACUACGCAAUUAACAGCUGUGACAGAAAUAUACAUAUUCGUGGAAACUCAACGAUGGGACGGGGAACGGGUUUGUAAUCGUUGCAGAUACAAUCCCGACAACUCCAUAAUAAAAUCCGUAAGAUUCAGCCCGAAGACGAAGCCACGAUUUAACAAGGCUUUUAACACGUGGAUCUGCUCAAAUUGCUCGAAGAAACAGCCGUUGUUGCUAAAUAGCAAACAUCGGCAGCAACAACAGCAGCAGCAGCAGCAGCAGCAGCAGCAGCAGCAGCAGCAGGAACAACAGCAGAAGAAGAAACCGAACAUUUUGCCGAUGGUACCGAGGCCUACUGUACCUCCUCCACCCAACUGGAAUACCAAGCCGAAGAACCUCACGACGGAGCCCUUUGCCAAGGUCAUCAAGCACUAAAUGCUCCCAAAGCCAAAGAGGCGUACUAAUAAGGAUCGAAGAUCUAGGGCAUCUUCGCAUUUUCGAGACACGACAAUAAGGGAAUAAGGGAAUAAGGGAAUAUGAAGAAUAGGAAGAAACCAAUAAAACGUAUACCGUGGCAGCUCCCGCGCACGAUCCGUUACACGAUCCGCUACAUUAUCCGCUCUUAAUGCUCUCGACGGCAAAUAAAGAGCUCGUUAAAUGCGACUAACCGAGGUGCUUGCUCCUCUCGUUCCCUCGUUUCGCGGGUUCAAUGUACCGCGGCCGGGGGGCUUAAGGCCCGGCAAUUUUACGCUGCCCGGAGGUGAGCUCGGGGCGGAGCAGCUCGAGGAUAAUGGGCAUUGACCGCAAAUUCGCCGGACCGCAAGACAUACCCGAGCAAUCGAGGACGGUGCGUGAAACAACCGAAAAUAGCCGCGGCUAAUCGCGGGGGAACACGUAAUCCUAGACAUCCGGCACCUGUUAUCUCCUCCCCGGGACACACGAUUAAGCCGAAAGCGCGUUCCCACACUCACCCACAUUUUACAAAUCCUAAUGGAUUUUACUUAAGAGAGAGAUCGCCCUUUCUCGAUCUUAUUACAUUUCCGUCUCUUUCGCUAUGUUUUUUUCUCGCUGCUCCUCAGCCCGACGGUGUCCUCGAGUGUUCCGGCGCUGCGGCCAAAUUAUGUAGAUUAGGUCGGCCCCGAGUGUAAGUAAGUACGCCGACAAAAGCGUUUGCCCUGCGAAAACUUUGAAAUUUCAAAUUAAUUGUUAUCAAGGUUAAUAAUUCUCGAGGCAGGGGACAAAGCCACCCCGUUACUGCGGCUUGUCCAAACACCCGGAUUUUCAAUCGAGCGCGCUUAACAUUAAUUCCGACGCUUAUGCAGAUUCGGCCGAUCGAGGCGAAAUUCCGCGACAAUUUCUCAAUAUUCUGCUCGAUGGUGGACGGGGGCGAAUAUCGUAACAUCCCACCCCUCGUACGCACUCGCAUAAUAAUGAAGCUAGUGCAAAGGCGCGGGGGUCGAAAGCGCUUAUAAAUAUUUCAAAAUGAAAUUGGCUGCUAAAGAGUCGGCGCUUGUGCAUUGUUGGCCCAUUGUCAUUGCAACAAUGGCGGGGGAGGGGAGGUGGCUCGAUAUCGGUUGCAUUGUUCGUAAAUUGCACGUUGCGCGGGCGCGUCACAAUGCCGAGGCAACAAGAUCGCAAGUUUAGCGGGAGUCCAGCUCGAUCCGAAGUGCCGCUGAAUUAGGCCUCGACGAUGUUUUCUAGAAAAUCACGGAUGAGCGCCAUAUGUCGCCGAUCGUGGAGACAUUGGGACUACCACAUUUUUUUCUGGUUCCGUAUUCACCGAGCAAAUCGACUAAUCGGGGGCAGUUAGGUCGGGUCGCAGGUGGACGGUAGGCUCUUGCGAGUGCACGUGUAAGGCGACGGCGUCGAAGAGUUCAUCGACAAUACACGAAUCGACGAGCUCACCCAGGUGUCACCUCGUCUCUCGGUCCUCUCUCGCCAAUGUUUUAUUUUUAUUACCUGUGCCGCGUGCAUUAUCUAUACGGGGACACGUGUCGCCGCUCACACUUCCGUCCGGCCCUCAACGACGGGCUUUCAUGUCGCGACAGCGUGUCCCACGCUCUCGAGGACAUGGCCCACUCGAGAUAAGAUCGUCCGUUAGAUAAGGAGAGGCCCGCGGGCGCGAGCAGCCCUUGAUAAA